GGUUUGAUUCUGGUCGAUUAACGCUGGCGGGAUGCUUUAGCACAUGCAAGUCGAACGGCCGCACGGACUUCGGUCUGGUGGGCGAGUGGCGAACGGGUGAGUAAUGUAUCGGAACGUGCCUAGUAGCGGGGGAUAACUACGCGAAAGUGGUGGCUAAUACCGCAUACGCCCUUCGGGGGAAAGGACCUUCGGGCCUCGCACCAUUAGGAGCGGAAGCCGAUAUCGGAUUAGCUAGUUGGUGGGGUAACGGCUCACCAAGGCGACGAUCCGUAGCUGGUUUGAGAGGACGACCAGCCACACUGGGACUGAGACACGGCCCAGACUCCUACGGGAGGCAGCGGGGAAUUUUGGACAAUGGGGGAAACCCUGAUCCAGCCAUCCCGCGCGUGCGAUGAAGGCCCGGUUGAAAAGACUUUUGGCAGGAAAGGAAACGGCACGGGAUAAUACCCGUGCAACUGACGGGUAUCUGCAGAAUAAGCACCAGCCAUAUCCGAUGCCAGCCAGUGGCUGCUGUAGAAUACGGGUAGGGAAAAAGCGUUAUCUGGAAUCACUGGGCGCAAAGGCGCGGCGCGGUCUGUAAGCGGUGAUGCAGUCCAGAGCUUAACUUUGAACUGCACAUUUUUAACUACUGAGCUGGAGUGUGUCAGAGGGAGGUGGAAUUCCGGCGUGUAGCAGUGAAAUGCGUAGAUAUGCGUGAGGAACACCGAUGGCGAAGGCAGCCUCUGAUAACACUGACGCCUGCGCACGAAAGCGGGGAGCAAACAGGAUUAGAUACCCUGGUGAAAAUCCACGCCCUAAACAGAUGUCAAAUUAGCUGUUGGGGCCUUCGGGCCUUGUAGCGCAGCUAACGCGUGAAGUUGGACUCCGUUUCUCCGGGAGUACGGUCGCAAGAUUAAAACCAAAGGAAUUGACGGGGACUCCCGCACAAGCGGUGGAUGAUGUGGAUUAAUUGAUGCAACGCGGAAAAAACCUUACCUACCUUGACAUGUCUGGAAUCCCGAAGAGAUUUGGUAAAGCUCAAGAGAACCGGAACAGGUGCUGCAUGGCUGUCGUCAGCUCGUGUCGUGGAGAUGUUGCAGUUAAGUCCCGCAACGAGUGGCAACCCUUGUCAUUAGUUGCUACGAAAGGGCACUCUAUCGAGACUGCCGGUAUAAACCGGGAGGAAGGUGGGAUGACGUCAGUCCUCAUGGCCCUUAUGGCAGGGGCCCACAUACAAUGGUCGGGACAGAGGGUCGCCAACCCGCGAGGGGGAGCCAAUCCCAGAGAAACCCGAUCGUAGAAGUCCGGAUCGCAGUUUUCGUCUGCAACUCGACUGCGUGGAAGUCGAAAUCGCUAGGUAAUCGCGGAUCAGCAUGUCAGGUGAAUACGUUCCCGGUCUUGUACACACCGCCCGUCACCCAUGAGUGGUUUUACCAGAAGUAGCUAGCUCAACUGUAAGGAGGGCGAUUACCACGGUAGGAUUCAUGACUGGGUGAAGUCGCAACAAGGUAG
rnacentral:rRNA from 1 species